CCGAAUAUAGUUCCGGUAUUGAAAUAUAGAAUGAAUUGCGCAUCUUUUCUAUCAGCUUAGGCGCUUUUGGACUGUAAAGAAUGUAUAAACAGUUAGUACUACUCCAAAUCGUGUUCCACAUUUCUAUUUUGCACAUUUGCAGGCAGGCGCCGGGUUGAUGAGUCCAUCUUGAUUUGCCGCUGCGGCGGCGGCGGUUGCGAGUUGGGACGAACAGGCCAGGCGGACUGCAGGGCAUAGGCAUGGCCGCCCGCCCCCCGGACCCGGAGCUCAUCGAGAUGAAAAAUGAUGGUAUCUUGCAUUUGUUGUCUGGAUAGUUCACCAUGGCUUGUAAAACACCCCAGGCCUCCUUGGCAAGAUCAGGGCGCUCCUUUCUGUCAUACCGGCAACAUCUCAGUGCUAGGAUUGCCAACUUUUUACUAUACUCAGGUGGCCAUUCCCCUGCAGAAGCAUCAACUACCUGUUGCAGCAUUUCAUUGUUCAGGGCUGCCUCUACCUCACUAGGAAGGCCUAGUGGACUCUUGCCAGUUAGCAAUCUUAGCAGCACUACUCCAAAUGAAUAGACAUCAUACUGUGCUGUGAGCUCCCCUGAAGCAAUGUAUCCUGGAUCCAUGUAUCCCAAUGUGCCUUUAAUUUGGUUUGUUUGGUGGUAAGGUGUGAUGGUGGUGUUUGUCAGAUUCAACGAACGAGAUAUCCCAAAGUCCCCUAGCUUGCCUACAAAGUUGUCUCCAAGGAGAAUAUUAUCAGGCUUCAGAUCACCAUGGGCAAUGCCUUUUGGUUUGUUGGAAUGAAGGAAGAUAAGUGCUGUGCAGAUGUCAGCAGCAAUUUUGAUCCUCAUUCUCCAUGGAAGUGGAUCUGUUUGGUGUUUACAUUGCAAACGGUCCUCUAGGCUCCCGUUUGGCAAGAACUCAUAGACCAAAGCUUUGGCCUCCCUGCACACUCCAAUCAGGGUCACAAGGUUUGGAUGUCUCAUCCUUCCCAGAAUCUCUACCUGUAAUGUAUUGGCAAAAUCACAUAUUUAUAUAAAGUUUUUUACUCUC